AUGAACGCUAGCUACAGGCUUAACACAUGCAAGUCGAGGGGCAGCAUGGGAUUAGCUUGCUAAUCCUGAUGGCGACCGGCGCACGGGUGCGUAACGCGUAUCCAACCUGCCCUCUACUCCGGAACAGCCCGUCGAAAGGCGGAUUAAUGCCGGAUGGUGUCAGAUGCCCGCAUGGGCGUGUGACUAAAGGCAACGGUAGAGGAUGGGGAUGCGACUGAUUAGCUUGUUGGCGGGGUAACGGCCCACCAAGGCUACGAUCAGUAGGGGUUCUGAGAGGAAGGUCCCCCACAUUGGAACUGAGACACGGUCCAAACUCCUACGGGAGGCAGCAGUGAGGAAUAUUGGUCAAUGGGCGAGAGCCUGAACCAGCCAAGUAGCGUGCGGGACGACGGCCCUAUGGGUUGUAAACCGCUUUUGAUUGGGAACAAAGAGCGCCACGUGUGGUGCGUUGCGUGUACCUUUCGAAUAAGCAUCGGCUAAUUCCGUGCCAGCAGCCGCGGUAAUACGGAAGAUGCGAGCGUUAUCCGGAUUUAUUGGGUUUAAAGGGAGCGUAGGCGGGCUGUUAAGUCAGCGGUCAAAUGUCAGGGCCCAACCUUGGCAUGCCGUUGAUACUGGCGGCCUUGAGUUCACACAAGGAAGGUGGAAUUCGUCGUGUAGCGGUGAAAUGCUUAGAUAUGACGAAGAACUCCGAUUGCGAAGGCAGCCUUCUGGGGUGUUACUGACGCUGAGGCUCGAAAGUGCGGGAAUCAAACAGGAUUAGAUACCCUGGUAGUCCGCACCGUAAACGAUGAGCGCCCGUCAUUGGCGACACACAGUCAGUGACCAAGGGAAACCGUUAAGCGCUCCACCUGGGGAGUACGCCGGCAACGGUGAAACUCAAAGGAAUUGACGGGGGCCCGCACAAGCGGUGGAGCAUGUGGUUUAAUUCGAAGCAAAGCGAAGAACCUUACCAGGUCUUGACAUCGAUCUAAAGGCUCCAGAGAUGGAGAGAUAGCUAUAGAGAAGACAGGUGGUGCAUGGUUGUCGUCAGCUCGUGUCGUGAGAUGUUGGGUUAAGUCCCGCAACGAGCGCAACCCUCGCUGUCAGUUGCCAUCAGGUGAUGCUGGGCACUCUGGCGGGACUGCCAUCGCAAGAUGUGAGGAAGGUGGGGAUGACGUCAAAUCAGCACGGCCCUUACGUCCGGGGCUACACACGUGUUACAAUGGGGGGUACAGAGCGUUGCUUUCACGCGAGUGAUUGCGGACCGCAAAAACCCUUCUCAGUUCGGACUGGAGUCUGCAACCCGACUCCACGAAGCUGGAUUCGCUAGUAAUCGCGCAUCAGCCAUGGCGCGGUGAAUACGUUCCCGGGCCUUGUACACACCGCCCGUCAAGCCAUGAAAGCCGGGGGUGCCUGAAGUCCGUCACCGCAAGGGUCGGCCUAGGGCAAAACUGGUGAUUGGGGCU
rnacentral:rRNA from 1 species